rnacentral:rRNA from 1 species
UACGUAGGGUGCAAGCGUUGUCCGGAAUUAUUGGGCGUAAAGAGCUCGUAGGCGGUCUGUCGCGUCUGCUGUGAAAACUCGGGGCUUAACCCCGGGCCUGCAGUGGGUACGGGCAGACUAGAGUGCGGUAGGGGAGACUGGAAUUCCUGGUGUAGCGGUGAAAUGCGCAGAUAUCAGGAGGAACACCGGUGGCGAAGGCGGGUCUCUGGGCAAUUCCUGACGCUGAGGCGCGAAAGCGUGGGGAGCAAACGGG